rnacentral:rRNA from 1 species
UAAGACGGAGGGGGCUAGCGUUGUUCGGAAUUACUGGGCGUAAAGAGUGCGUAGGCGGUUUAGUAAGUUGGAAGUGAAAGCCCGAGGCUUAACCUCGGAACUGCUUUCAAAACUACUAAUCUAGAGUGUAGUAGGGGAUGAUGGAAUUCCUAGUGUAGAGGUGAAAUUCUUAGAUAUUAGGAGGAACACCGGUGGCGAAGGCGGUCAUCUAGGCUACAACUGACGCUGAGGCACGAAAGCGUGGGGAGCAAACAGGAUUAGAUACCCUGGUAGUCCACGCUGUAAACGAUGAGUGCUAGAUAUCGGAAGAAUUUCUUUCGGUUUCGAAGCUAACGCAUUAAGCACUCCGCCUGGGGAGUACGGUCGCAAGAUUA